rnacentral:lncRNA from 1 species
CCCAUUUUUGAUUCUAACUCUAGUCUUGAACCAAAUAUGUCAGAGGAUAUGGCCAUUCUGUGAAUUCCAAUUUUGAUUCUAUUUGUGAAUCAAACACUCCCCAAUGUAUUGUUGUCCUUAGUGAGGACUCCUGGGGCAUGUUUGAUAAAAUCCCAUAAGAUCGAGCAUGAGAAUGGUGGGGGAAGAGGAUGUUAGAGGGUUAGUGGAAAGAAGUAAGGGAGCAGGAGAAGGGAGAGGAAGAGCAUGGGGGGUGUCGGAACCUAAUCCCUAUGAGAUGUAGAAAAGAUCUCAAUCCCUUCCAUCCCCACCUCUGGCCCAUCAUAGAUUAUCCAUGCUGGCCCAUAGAUGAUCCAUUAUGGACCUUAACCUAAGUGCACAUUUGAUGAAAAAUAUUUCUUUAUAUAAAUUACAUUUACCUUUUCUGGGGGUAAUGUUUUGAUGAAUUUUUUAUUUUUAUUUUUUUACAGUGUCAAACAUUAAGGAGAGGACAAACAAAAGAUAAGUCAAAUGAGCAAGCAAAUCAACAUGUCAUAUGAAUUCUUUAAUUGGAAUUGUAUAUCCACAUGAUCCCAUGGGUAGAAAUCCUUUACCAAUUGAGAUAUGUCCUAUUGUAGAUACACAAAUAUUUAUGAUUUUCUAAAAAAAAUAUUGAGC